GCUUGCUCUGCGGUCGAGUGACGCCUUUUUCGGCGCCCGCCUUGUGCCCGCUCUUACGCGACACGGUGGUGAUAACUGCUCAUUAUUGCAAUGCAAAUCUAGCAAGGCAGACGGCGGCUGUUCACACUGCAGGCGACGGCUCGAAGAGGAAAUGGCACACAAACAUCUGCGCAUGCGUCUUCUGAUUGUGGUAUAGACCUGGAAAGAGCACCGUGCGUGCGACGACCGCUGACACCUGCGCCCGAGAUGGACAACAGGAAAGAAAGCGGAACAGUGUGACCUGCAUUGUGUGUCCCGAACAAUGGAAGUAAAAAAAAACAAACAAGAAAUUCUGAUGAA